GUCCACGCCGUAAACGUUGGGAACUAGGUGUGGGUCUCAUUCCACGAGAUCCGUGCCGCAGCUAACGCAUUAAGUUCCCCGCCUGGGGAGUACGGCCGCAAGGCUAAAACUCAAAAGGAAUUGACGGGGGCCCGCACAAGCGGCGGAGCAUGUGGAUUAAUUCGAUGCAACGCGAAGAACCUUACCAAGGCUUGACAUAUACGAGAACGCGUCAGAGAUUGACGAACUCUUUGGACACUCGUAUACAGGUGGUGCAUGGUUGUCGU
rnacentral:rRNA from 1 species